GGGGUUGUGACUCAGUGGUAGAGUGCUUGCCUCUCAUGCAUGAGGUACUGGGUUCAAUCCUCAGCACCA
rnacentral:tRNA from 1 species